CCUACGGGUGGCAGCAGUGAGGAAUAUUGGUCAAUGGGAGAGAUCCUGAACCAGCCAAGCCGCGUGAGGGAAGACGGCGCCAUGGGUUGUAAACCUCUUUUGUCGGGGAACAAAACCCGGCACGUGUCCCUGACUGCGUGUAUCCGAAGAAAAAGCAUCGGCUAACUCCGUGCCAGCAGCCGCGGUAAUACGGAGGGUGCGAGCGUUAACCGGAAUUACUGGGGGUAAAGCGUUCGUAGGCGGGAUGUCAAGUCAAGGGUGAAAUCCCCGCGGUCAACGUGGGACGUGCCUUUGAAACUGGCAAACUGGAGAGUGUGAGAGGAUAGUGGAAUGCCAGGUGUAGGAGUGAAAUGCGUAGAUAUCUGGAGGAACAUCAGUGGCGAAGGCGACUAUCUGGCACAUAACUGACGCUGAGGAGCGAAAGCGUGGGUAGCAAACAGGAUUAGAUACCCUUGUAGUC
rnacentral:rRNA from 1 species